AAAUAAAAUAAAAUUAGUUUCGACCUAAAAUUUGAUGUUAACUCAUCUUUAUUUA
rnacentral:tRNA from 1 species